AGAUUGAACGCUGGCGGCGUGCCUAACACAUGCAAGUCGAGCGGUAACAGGUGUAGCAAUACAUGCUGACGAGCGGCGAACGGGUGAGUAAUGCUUUGGAAUCUUCCCAGUAGUGGGGAAUAACCAGUCGAAAGAUUGGCUAAUACCGCAUACGUCUGUAAAGGGAAAGCGGGGGCUCGUAAGACCUCGCGCUAUUGGAUGAGCCAAAGUCGGAUUAGCUAGUUGGUGGGUAACGGCCUACCAAGGCGACAAUCCGUAGCUGGUCUGAGAGGACGACCAGCCACACCGGAACUGAGACACGGUCCGGACUCCUACGGGAGGCAGCAGUGGGGAAUAUUGGACAAUGGGGGAAACCCUGAUCCAGCGACGCCGCGUGUGUGAAGAAGGCCUGCGGGUUGUAAAGCACUUUUAGUGGGGACAAAAAGGCUACGGAUUAAUACUCUGUGGUCUUGAUUUAACCCAAAGAAAAGCACCGGCUAACUCUGCGCCAGCAGCCGC
rnacentral:rRNA from 1 species